rnacentral:rRNA from 1 species
GAUGAACGCUGGCGGCGUGCCUAAUACAUGCAAGUCGAGCGAACAGACGAGGAGCUUGCUCCUCUGACGUUAGCGGCGGACGGGUGAGUAACAUGUGGAUAACCUACCUAUAAGACUGGGAUAACUUAGUGAAACCGGAGCUAAUACCGGAUAAUAUAUUGAACCGCGUGGUUCAAUAGUUAAAGACGGUUUUGCUGGCACUUAUAGAUGUAUCCGGGCCGCAUUGGCUAGUUGGUAAGGUAACGGCUUCCCAUGGCAACGAUGCGUAGCCGACCUGAGAGGGUGAUGGGCGCCACUGGGACUGAGACACGGCCCAGACUCCUACGGGAGGCAGCAGUAGGGAAUCUUAGGAAAUGGGCGAAAGCUUGCCGGAGCAGCGGCAGGUGGAUGAUGAAGGUCUUCGGGUCGUAAAACUCUGUUAUUAGUGUAAAACAAAUGUGUAAGGAACUAAGCACGUCUUGACGGUACCUAAUGAGAAAGCAACGGCUAACUACGUG